GACAGAGGUGCCGAGCGUUAGGCGGAAUCACUGGGCUUAAAGCGUGUGUAGGUGGAUGCCUAAGUACCUUGUGAAAUCCCACGGCUUAACCGUGGAACUGCUUGGUAUACUGGGUGUCUUGAGCCAGCUAGGGGCUACCGGAACAAAUGGUGGAGCGGUGAAAUGCGCAGAUAUCAGGAGGAACACCGAUGGCGAAGGCAGCUCGCUGGGACGGUACUGACGCUGAGGCGCGAAAGCGUGGGGAGCAAACAGG
rnacentral:rRNA from 1 species